CUGGAGUUAUUAUUAGUGUUGUCUUGAGGCAGAAUUUCAAAUUGUAGGGCUUGGCAGAGUUCCAUUCUUGCAUGACAGCUCCCCAGAUCCUCCAAACCAACGUAUGUAUACUGACAGUGCUGGCUGGAGGAUUGUGGGAUAUGAAGUUCAAAAAUCUCACUUUUCCAAACUCUGGCUUUCGUUCCUAUUUCACUUUCAUUUUUGCAGGCGGACUCAGGAGCGCAUGUCUGUCCAACCUCAUCGGUUACAUCCAAGCUUUGAAUUUGGCCAUCAACUCCAGACUUCUCAACCUGUGGGACCCCAGCCCAGAUACUUAGCUGAAGGAACAGACUGGGAUCUCAGCGUUGAUGCUGGCCUGACUCACAACCAGUUCCAGGUCAGGCCGGUUCCACAGCAUUAUCAGCAUUAUUUAGCGACGCAAAGGAUGCAUCACUUUCCACGAAACACAUCAUCAACACAAAUGGUAAGCAAAGGGGAAGGGUCUAAGGGAUGGAUGUAAGUUAAGAUGGACUAUCUAAUCCCAAAUAAGUUGU
rnacentral:lncRNA from 11 species